GAUAGAAGAUAUAUUGAUAGAUUUUUUUUUUGGUAGAAAUAUUGAUAGUUAGAUACAUUGUACAUCGAGGCUCGAGGGUUAAAAUGACGUCUCAGCUCACAAUCUGCCCUGAAGGCCUCAAUGAGUCAAUGGAAGCCGUCUUUCUUUAAUCCCAAUUCUCAACAGACAUUAUACACCACGAGCCACAGCCACGGCGCGUAACCUCAAAGUCAGGAGUCCGAUUCAGUUUUACAAGUUCCGAAAGGCCCGACGAGAGAGCUAGACGGGAACCGGAAAGAAGGGGUUUGAACUUUGAAGAAGAUCUCUGCCGAAGAAAACCUCCUCCAGUUGCCCUGUAUCGGUACGAAAAUGUUGGGAUGCCAUGUGAAAUGCCUCCACAUGAAUGACACGUGUUGAUGGUUCUAACUCAUGUCUGGAAUGCUGGUUGUAACUCUUACAGCUCUAAUUCAUACAAGCCUUAAAUAAUUUAAACAAGGAUUGAGAGCCCUGAUUCUCUGUCUCAGAAGACUUGCUCAGGGAUGAUACUGAUCGUUCAGCGGCUGCUGCAAGAAAACAAGCACGGAUGGAAGAGAGAGCAGACACUGAGCAAUCCAUGACAUAUUCAUUCGUUUAGGAUGCGAUUGGCAUAAUUUAAGUGUGACAGAAGCAGAUGACAGAUGAUAAGGAUGAGGUCCCUCUUGCUCAUGUUUCAUUCAGCUUGGUGAAUUUUUGGCUUGAACCUCAUGCUCA